AUAUAUAUGUAUGUGUGUCUGUAUAUUCAAGUCAGUGUAUUACAUAUACAUACAUAUACACACACACAUACAUACAUACACACACACACAUAU
rnacentral:miRNA from 10 species